UACGUAGGGACCGAGCGUUGUCCGGAAUCAUUGGGCGUAAAGAGCGUGUAGGCGGCCCGGUAAGUCCGCUGUGAAAGUCGGGGGCUCAACCCUCGAAUGCCGGUGGAUACUGUCGGGCUAGAGUGCGGAAGAGGCGAGUGGAAUUCCUGGUGUAGCGGUGAAAUGCGCAGAUAUCAGGAGGAACACCAAUUGCGAAGGCAGCUCGCUGGGACGUAACUGACGCUGAGGAGCGAAAGCGUGGGGAGCGAACAGG
rnacentral:rRNA from 1 species